rnacentral:rRNA from 1 species
UACGGGGGGGGGCAAGCGUUGUUCGGAAUUACUGGGCGUAAAGCGUGCGCAGGCGGCGCGUUAAGACAGGUGUGAAAGCCCCGAGCUUAACUUGGGAAUUGCGCUUGUGACUGGCGUGCUGGAGUGUGGCAGAGGGAGGUGGAAUUCCACGUGUAGCAGUGAAAUGCGUAGAGAUGUGGAGGAACACCGAUGGCGAAGGCAGCCUCCUGGGCCAGCACUGACGCUCAUGCACGAAAGCGUGGGGAGCAAACAGG